rnacentral:rRNA from 1 species
UAUGUGAUCGUCUCUCGCAUAUCAAUAAGCGGAGGAAAAGAAACUAACAAGGAUUCCCCUAGUAACGGCGAGUGAGGCGGGAAGAGCUCAAAUUUGAAAUCUUAAAGGGUUUCCCUUUACGAAUUGUAGUUUAAAGAAGUGUUUUCUGUUGAGGUUUUGGUAAAAGUUCUUUGGAAUAGGACAUCAUAGAGGGUGAGAAUCCCGUAUUUGACCUUUACUUUCAACUUUGUGAUACACUUUCAAAGAGUCGGAUUGUUUGGGAAUGCAGUCCAAAAUGGGUGGUAAAUUUCAUCUAAAGCUAAAUAUUGGCGAGAGACCGAUAGCGAACAAGUACCGUGAGGGAAGAUGAAAAGAACUUUGAAAAGAGAGUUAAACAGUACGUGAAAUUGUCAAAGGGAAGCGUUUGACACCAGUGUUGUUUUUCUGAAAAUCAAUUAAAGAACUGUUUAUGCUAAGUUGUUUAGACUUUAUCAGCUAUCUGUUUAGUUUUGAGCUUUUCUUUAAUGCACUUUUCAGUUAACAAGUCAACAUCAAUUUCUUUUGCUGUAAAAAAGCUUGAGGAAGGUGGCUUGAGAUUCGUCUUAAGUGUUUAUAGCCUCUUGCCUAUGCAGUCGGAGAGAUUGAGGUCUGCAGCGUAGAUCCUUCGGGGCUAAAUGCAUUUGUGCUAAGUUAUAGCAUUUUAUAGACAACUUGUUGACUAUGAUUUGUCUUGUAGCUUACUCGCUUAUGUUAUUUUACCUACGCUUAGGAUGUUGACUGAUAUGUAGUCGU